UACGUAGGGUGCAAGCGUUAAUCGGAAUUACUGGGCGUAAAGCGUGCGCAGGCGGUGAUGUAAGACAGAUGUGAAAUCCCCGGGCUCAACCUGGGAACGUGCAUUUGUGACUGCAUCACUGGAGUACGGCAGAGGGGGAGUGGAAUUCCGCGUGUAGCAGUGAAAUGCGUAGAUAUGUGGAGGAACACCAAUGGCGAAGGCAGCCCCCUGGGCCGAUACUGACGCUCAUGCACGAAAGCGUGGGGAGC
rnacentral:rRNA from 1 species